rnacentral:rRNA from 1 species
CGUCUUCUACUAAUGUUAAGUAUCAGAUGUUAUAUGUUUCUAUACGGAUAUAUGAGAUUGUGGAGGUUUGUGUUUUUGUUUUCGAAGUGUCGGAACACUAACGCUAUUUUGGUGUGACAAGAGCGAGCCGAGUUCGGAGUGCGCGCUUGUACUCCCAGAAGCCCGAGGAGCGAAAGCGGCCGACGCGCCGCAACGAGCGCCCACGGCCGCCCGUCGUCCUCCGGCCGCACGGCAGCUAGUAGUGGGCCCUCUUCAAGCUGCGGUACUACUCGUUGGCGUUGUUUCCGUCGACGCUCCCGCCGCGCAAGAUGUGGAUCUUGCGUAAGCAGUUCCGGCACUCGUUUAAGGGACGGAAGCCGUUACGGUCGCUGCUGUUCUGGGCGUCUACCCUCGAGCGGCGGAAGAAGCCCGUCUGGAGGGUGCUUUGGCAACUCUUAGGUGCCGUACUGUACGAUAGCCCGAUACUGCAGUCCAAUGACGAAGCACUUUCUCGUUUUAGGUCACUAGUACGCGAUGAUGCCUGCUCCGGAUCAUGUCGACUGGAUGCUGAAGUUGAUAGCUGUUCGGCCCCUCCGCAACCCCGACCUGGAGGAUCUGUUGGGCCUGGACCACAGGUGCUUGGGGCAGCACCGCAAGUUCUGCCGUUAGACUACAACCUACUGCGGAGUCCGCGGGUUUGGUAGCACAGUGCGGCACUACUGGCUACCGACCUGAGGAAAACGGGUUCUACAGCUGCGCCCCUACGAGGGGCCGAUGCCGUACUGGUGGUUGUAGAAGUUGCCGAGCCGCCUCACGCCGUUCCCGAUGCGCUGGGGCGACCGGUUCCUGGCCCGGGCGAUGAUGUUCUACAUGGCGCUGUACGAGUUUCAACUCAUGCCACUUUUGAUGCCCACGCCCGUGGUCUUGAAUUGUUUCAGCAACAACGGAGUGCCUCUUAGAAGCGGAGGAGCCUUGUCUUGGUCCGAAGACUAGCCGUAGAGACAUCCAAGAUACAACAAAAACGAGCAAAAGCAGUGAAACUAGACAGAGGAGGAUGCCGCUUUGGCCCGGCUUUUGGUAGUGACUCGUUGCCUCGUUCCCGAUAGUCUCCGGCCGAAGAAACUACUGUUAGUCUCGUACCUUCUUCUGAAGUUCUUUCCUUGGCGCGGGUUCGCCAAAACGAUGUCGCUGAACCGGUACCGGUGGCUGUUGAAAAGGCUGCUAUUCUUCGAUCCUGUUCCCCCGAAGCCGAGCCACAUGUUUCCUAAGGAGUUCCUUGACCUGGAAGUGCACCGGUAGUUUUCUCAGAGGUUCCCGAGGUUCGUCCCCUCCUUCCUCGUACGGAGACUCUGUACUCUAACACGAGCCCAAUCCUAGGCGCGAAGAGAUGGAUGUAGUCCUCACCCUCGUCACGUAGGACGUAUCCCUGCAGUUCGGUUCGUUGUAGUACGACCUACGCAGGAAGUUGUGGUUCGAGCCGCUGAAGCCAGAGCGGUCCGACCAGUUUGUGUCGGCUCCAAGCGAGUGGUGCCGUGUGUGGACGUGUUACCCUAUGUACCUAGGUCUUACGUACUAGUGACCGUCCCGGUUGCGGCUCAGUCUAUAAAUGUCGAAGCCGCAACAGGAGAACCUCUAGCGGACGCCGUCUGCCGGGUACCACCACCAAGUUGUUGUUCUUCUUCUACUACUACUACUUCUACACCAGGUGGACCGAGUCACCCAGACCUCGAGCAUACCUUCUCCCUUCUAAGACCUGCAGUGGCUGUGUGCCGACCCUCUUCUUAAGCUACGAGCCCUCUACCUCACACACGACUAGCAACCCGAAACCACACGAGUCGAGCUAAACUUCGACUCUGACAGACAGUACGUACGAGAGUUGCACGACGCCAAACUCCGCGGGGACGGAGGGGAGGGGAGUUCCUACGGCCGACGUUCGAUGUACGGUGGUUAAUCACCAUGUCCCUCGACGUGUAGAAGUAGCUGCCAUUGUGCGGUGUAGUUGCUGUAGUACACAUGUAGAAACCACCGUCGUUGCCGCACCGACGGUGAGUCAGCUCGAACUGACUUCUUAGAAACGACUUUGCUCUAUCUGGUGUGCGAAGAGACUAGCGUGGGCCUUUUUUUCAGGUCGGCAAAAAGCACCUUCAACUUCAUAAAUGAUACCUUGUUUACGUAAAUGCAAGACUUUACGUCAUCCUGAGCAAACAAAGCUUGUACGUGAGCAACAGAAAUUAAUGUAAUAAUCAACAUGGUAGUUUGGAAAUGUUUCCAAAGCACAAAAUCUUAACUUUGUGUAGUAGCCUAAAUGUGUUCAGUGUAUCGUUUCAGUGAAAUCGAUAUCCAGUUGAGCGACUUUUUACAUAAACCCAGUCAGCUAAAAACUUGGUAACUAGAGACAGAGUUCUAAGGGCG